UCCAUUGUGGUCUAGUGGCUAGGAUUUGUCGCUCUCAGAAUUCAGCUAUACGACUGAUUUCAGGGCCCCGACAAGGCCGGGGUUCAAUUCCCCGCAAUGGAA